UGUGGAAGUAAAAUAAACCCUUUCCUCUCCAGGUUGUUUACAGUCACGGUGCUUUACCACAGCAGCAGAAACCACACCAAGGCACUGAUCUGCCCAUUCCCAGACACGCUUUCUGCCUGGUUGGCCUAACAGCGGAUAGUUGCCAAUACCUCUUGUCAUAGUUUGCACUCAGUGCAUGGCUGUUAAAUACAUGUAUUUACUCACUCAUCAACAUUUUCAGAAAGCCUUCUACCUCUAGGCUUGGUUGUGGACACCAGGGCUUUGAAGAAGAUGAGGACAGGACAAGAAGGCACAGGAGGGGCUGUCUGCGGGGCACAUGCAGGAAUGCUUCAUUCAGCGUGGCCAUGAAUCUCAGCUGGCCUGGCACUGUGCCUCCUGGACCCUUCCUCCUCCUCCUCUGACUCUUCACAAGUCUCUGCACUGUCCACUUAAGGAGCUGGAGUGGCACCCUCAGGAGCCUUACAUUGGGGCACAGGUCUCUGUCGGGAUGAGCGUGAGAGCCUUGGUGGCUGGCCAUCCACACCUAGCAGCUCACCGGAGGGCUCGUGUUGGGGACAUCUACGCUCUCAGCUUGCUCUGAAGACCUGCAGAGUUGUGACAGCAAGAGAGAGGACGGAAGACUCGAAGUCGGGCUUGGGAGGUAACGUGAGGCAACCUCAGCACUAGGUCCCUGUCUCUGUCCUCACACAGCAGGCUCUCAAGGGAAGACUUCCACAGCAGGACCUUCAAGCUGAAUGAAUUACAACUUGGUCUGCUGUGAGCACAGAAGUUUGCAGUCUUUCCUCUGUGCCACUACCAUCUGUUGGGCAAACACACGCCCUCCCUGUGCCCUUAAGAAAAGAGGUCUAGGAACUAUUCAGCCAUUUCUGAAAAAUGUCUGCCUAGCAUGUCAGGGUAUUCUGUCUCCAUCAAUGAUUUUACUUCAAAUGUAAGUGUUGAACCCUUCAGCUUGUCACAGAUGGAGUUGCUCUUCUCAGAAACCGUCCCCUGGAUGGUUCUCAGGCCGGAAAGGCCAGAAGAUGAACUGAUACAUGAUUUAGAAAACGGCAGUAAAGCGGUUGCUGCUCUCUGAAGGUGAUCAAGACCAACUAAGUGCAGACCCAGGGUCACCAGGUUGUAACUUG
rnacentral:lncRNA from 1 species